GACGAAGGGGGCAAGCGUUGUUCGGAAUUACUGGGCGUAAAGGGCGCGUAGGCGGCUCUGUAAGUCAGGCGUGAAAGCCCUGGGCUCAACCUGGGAAUGGCAUUGGAUACUGGCGACCUAGAGUGCGGUAGAGGGGUGUGGAAUUCCCGGUGUAGCAGUGAAAUGCGUAGAUAUCGGGAGGAACAUCUGUGGCGAAGGCGACACCCUGGACCAGCACUGACACUGAGGCACGAAAGCGUGGGGAGCAAACAGG
rnacentral:rRNA from 1 species